rnacentral:rRNA from 1 species
UACGUAGGGUGCAAGCGUUGUCCGGAAUUAUUGGGCGUAAAGAGCUCGUAGGCGGUUUGUCGCGUCGGCUGUGAAAACUGGAGGCUUAACCUUCAGCGUGCAGUCGAUACGGGCAGACUUGAGUUCGGUAGGGGAGACUGGAAUUCCUGGUGUAGCGGUGAAAUGCGCAGAUAUCAGGAGGAACACCAGUGGCGAAGGCGGUGGUCUGGGCCGACACUGACGCUGUAGAGCGAAAGCGUGGGGAGCGAACAGG